rnacentral:rRNA from 1 species
UACGUAGGGUGCAAGCGUUGUCCGGAAUUAUUGGGCGUAAAGAGCUCGUAGGCGGUUUGUUGCGUCGGCUGUGAAAUCCCGAGGCUCAACCUCGGGUCUGCAGUCGAUACGAGCAAACUAGAGUGUUGCAGGGGAGACUGGAAUUCCUGGUGUAGCGGUGAAAUGCGCAGAUAUCAGGAGGAACACCAACAGCGAAGGCAGCACUCUGGGCCGGUACUGACGCUGAGGAGCGAAAGCAUGGGGAGCGAACAGG